rnacentral:rRNA from 1 species
UGGGGAAUAUUGGACAAUGGGCGCAAGCCUGAUCCAGCCAUGCCGCGUGAGUGACGAAGGUCUUCGGAUUGUAAAACUCUUUUGGCGGGGACGAUAAUGACGGUACCCGCAGAAUAAGCCCCGGCUAACUUCGUGCCAGCAGCCGCGGUAAUACGAAGGGGGCUAGCGUUGUUCGGAAUCACUGGGCGUAAAGCGCACGUAGGCGGAUGUGCCAGUCAGGGGUGAAAUCCCGGAGCUCAACUCCGGAACUGCCUCUGAUACAGCACGUCUUGAGUUCGAGAGAGGUGGGUGGAAUUCCUAGUGUAGAGGUGAAAUUCGUAGAUAUUAGGAAGAACACCGGUGGCGAAGGCGGCUCACUGGAUCGGUACUGACGCUGAGGUGCGAAAGCGUGGGGAGCAAACAGGAUUAGAUACCCUUGUAGUCCCUGAGCGGGCUGGCAAGGCGCAU